AUGGAGAACUGAAGAUUGCCACCUACGCACAAAGGCCAUUGAGACACUUCGUGUAGCUGGAAGACACCAACUUCCUGACAGGAGCUUUAUUUCAUUUGGGAUUUCAAGUUUACAGAUGGUAUCUUCUCAAAAGUUGGAAAAACCUAUAGUUUCAGAAACAACUCUCCAAGUUCCAUUUCCAAGGAAAGUCUUAACCAUUUGUCCCUUCUGGCGUACCCUCUUUCAUUGAAAUCCAUGCAGAAUAUACCAGAGAUGGGCAGUAGCGAACCCCUUCCCAUCGCAGAUGGUGACAGGAGGAGGAAGAAGAAGCGGAGGGGCCGGGCCACUGACUCCUUGCCAGGAAAGUUUGAAGAUAUGUACAAGCUGACCUCUGAAUUGCUUGGAGAGGGAGCCUAUGCCAAAGUUCAAGGUGCCGUGAGCCUACAGAAUGGCAAAGAGUAUGCCGUCAAAGUGAGUGUCUCAGCUGAAUGCCAGGCUUUACUUUGCAAAUAGUCAUUCCUAGCUCAUCUUGAACCAAAUAAAUGUUAUAUUCCAUAAGAA
rnacentral:lncRNA from 1 species